rnacentral:misc_RNA from 1 species
AACAAGGCGUACCUGCGGACCUGCGGAAGGAUCAUUACCAGAGUGCCAUAGGCUCUCCAACCCAUUGUGAACAUACCUAUCGUUCCCUCGGCGGGCUCAGCGCGCGGGGCCUCCGGGCUUCCGGGCGUCCGCCGGGGACAACCAAACCCUGAUUUACUACGUGUAUCUCUGAGGGGCGAAAGCCCGAAAACAAAAUAAAUCAAAACUUUUAACAAUGGAUCUCAGAUCGGAAGAGCACAC